GCCGCGUGAGCGAAGAAGGUCUUCGGAUCGUAAAGCUCUGUUGUUAGGGAAGAACAAGUACCGUUCAAAUAGGGCGGUACCUUGACGGUACCUAACCAGAAAGCCACGGCUAACUACGUGCCAGCAGCCGCGGUAAUACGUAGGUGGCAAGCGUUAUCCGGAAUUAUUGGGCGUAAAGCGCGCGCAGGCGGUCCUUUAAGUCUGAUGUGAAAGCCCACGGCUCAACCGUGGAGGGUCAUUGGAAACUGGGGGACUUGAGUGCAGAAGAGGAGAGCGGAAUUCCACGUGUAGCGGUGAAAUGCGUAGAGAUGUGGAGGAACACCAGUGGCGAAGGCGGCUCUCUGGUCUGUAACUGACGCUGAGGCGCGAAAGCGUGGGGAGCGAACAGGAUUAGAUACCCUGGUAGUCCACGCCGUAAACGAUGAGUGCUAAGUGUUAGAGGGUUUCCGCCCUUUAGUGCUGCAGCAAACGCAUUAAGCACUCCGCCUGGGGAGUACGGUCGCAAGACUGAAACUC
rnacentral:rRNA from 1 species